rnacentral:rRNA from 1 species
UACGUAGGGUGCAAGCGUUAAUCGGAAUUACUGGGCGUAAAGCGUGCGCAGGCGGUUCCGCAAGUCAGAUGUGAAAUCCCCGGGCUUAACCUGGGAAUUGCAUUUGAAACUAUGGAACUAGAGUGUGUCAGAGGGGGGUAGAAUUCCACGUGUAGCAGUGAAAUGCGUAGAGAUGUGGAGGAAUACCGAUGGCGAAGGCAGCCCCCUGGGGUGACACUGACGCUCAUGCACGAAAGCGUGGGGAGCAAACAGG